rnacentral:rRNA from 1 species
GAUGAACGCUAGCGGCAGGCCUAAUACAUGCAAGUCGGACGGGAUUGGAGAGCUUGCUUUCCAUGAGAGUGGCGCACGGGUGCGUAACACGUAUGUAACCUACCUUGUUCAGGGGGAUAGCCUCUCGAAAGAGAGAUUAAGACCGCAUAACAUUGCAAUGUGGCAUCAACAAAGCAAUCAAAUAUUUAUAGGAACAAGAUGGGCAUGCGGAACAUUAGCUAGUUGGUAAGGUAACGGCUUACCAAGGCUACGAUGUUUAGGGGAUCUGAGAGGAUCGA